rnacentral:rRNA from 1 species
UUAUACGAGAGACCCAAGUUGAUGCCUACGGCGUAAAGCGUGAUUAUAGGUCAACAAAAACUAAAGCCAAAGCCCCUCAAAGCUGUUAUACGCACAUCGAAGGUCCUAAGCCCAAAAACGAAAGUAGCUUUAACCUAAUUAACCUAGACCACACGACAGUUGGGAGACAAACUGGGAUUAGAUACCCCACUAUGCCCAACCAUAAACUUUGAUAAUAAAAUACAAAUAUUAUCCGCCAGGGAACUACAAGCACAAUGCUCGAAACCCAACGGACUUGGCGGUGCCCCACACCCCCCUAGAGGAGCCUGUUCUACAACUGACAACCCCCGUUAAACCUCACCGCCCCUAGCCUAGUCAGUCUAUAUACCACCGUCGUAAGCUCACCCUAUGAAGGCCCAAUAGUAAGCAAGAUGGGCACAACCCAACACGUCAGGUCGAGGUGUAGCACACGGGGCGGGAAGAAAUGGGCUACAUUUUCUGCCAAACAGAACAUCAACGAACAACGAUAUGAAAACACCGUUUAAAGGAGGAUUUAGCAGUAAAAAGAAAACAGAGAGUUCUUUUGAAGCCGGCCCUGGGGCGCGCACACACCGCCCGUCACUCUCCACGACCUUACAAAAACUACAAAACUAAAUAAUAUAACACAACCACCACUAGUGGAGACAAGUCG